AUUGAACGCUGGCGGCAUGCCUAACACAUGCAAGUCGAACGGAAACGAUGGAAGCUUGCUUCCAGGCGUCGAGUGGCGGACGGGUGAGUAAUACUUAGGAAUCUGCCCAUUAGUGGGGGACAACUCGGGGAAACUCGAGCUAAUACCGCAUACGCCCUACGGGGGAAAGCGGAGGACCUUUCGGGGCUUCGCGCUAAUGGAUGAGCCUAAGUCGGAUUAGCUUGUUGGUGAGGUAAAGGCUCACCAAGGCGACGAUCCGUAGCUGGUCUGAGAGGACGAUCAGCCACACUGGGACUGAGACACGGCCCAGACUCCUACGGGAGGCAGCAGUGGGGAAUAUUGGACAAUGGGCGAAAGCCUGAUCCAGCAAUGCCGCGUGUGUGAAGAAGGCCUGCGGGUUGUAAAGCACUUUCAGUAGAGAAGAAAAGC
rnacentral:rRNA from 1 species